rnacentral:rRNA from 1 species
CGCUGGCGGCGUACCUAACGCAUGCAAGUCGAACGGGGACUUUAUAGCAAUAUGGAGUUCUAGUGGCAAACGGGUGAGUAACACGUGGGCAUCUACCUUCAAGUGGGGAAUAACGAGCCGAAAGGUUCGCUAAUACCGCAUACGGUUGCGAAACGAAAGGUGUAGUGAUACAUCGCUGGAAGGCGAGCCUGCGGUCGAUCAGGUAGUUGGUGAGGUAACGGCUCACCAAGCCUCUGACCGAUAGCUGAUCUGAGAGGAUGACCAGCCACACUGGGACUGCGAGACGGCCCAGACUCCUACGGGAGGCAGCAGCGAGGAAUAUUGCACAAUGGAGGCAACUCUGAUGCAGUAACGCCGCGUGGGGGAAGAAGACCUUCGGGUUGUAAACCUCUUUUUGUAUAGACGAGUGAGGACGGUAUAUAUAGAAUCAGUCUCGGCUAACUACGUGCCAGCAGCCGCGGUAAGACGUAGGAGGCGAGCGUUAUCCGGAUUCACUGGGCGUAAAGCGCAUGUAGGCGGCUGGACAAGUCGUGUGUUAAAGCCCCUGGCUCAACUGGGGGAGGUCAUGCGAGACUGUUCGACUUGAGAGCAACAGAGGCACGUGGAACUCCCGGUGUAGCGGUGGUAUGCGUAGAGAUCGGGAAGAACACCAGUGGCGAAGGCGACGUGCUGGGUUGCGACUGACGCUGAGAUGCGAAAGUG